rnacentral:tRNA from 1 species
ACUUUUAAAGGAUGGUAGUUAUCCGUUGGUCUUAGGAGCCAAAAAAUUGGUGCAACUCCAAAUAAAAGUAA